UAACACCACAGGAUGUAGUUAGUACUCCAGCGGUUACCUAGCAACAGACAGCACGCUGCAGAAAAACGGAUAUGGACAUCACUGCUGAUGAGAUCCCUCUAUAUUUAAAUGUAUUCAAUCUAUAAGACUGAUGAAUAAGAAGAGAUGCAUGCAGAUGGCUUCCUGUCUGGUAACUGGUUCCUGUUAACCUUACAGCAGGUUUUCUGGUAUCGGCUUGAAGAGAAUUACCGCCAGACGUCAUGUCAAUCACACAAACCUCCUUGAGUGGAUGAUGCGGGGGGGGGGCAUCCUGUCAUCAUCAGUGUGAUGUAAUGCUUUGACUCGUGAGAUAUGUGGACCGCUUGAUUUAUUUAACAACCGUGUAUGUGUGUGUGUGUGUGGAGUAACUGAGCAGCAGAUGUGAUUAUAUAUAUGUGUAUAUAUACGCUAUUAUGUUCUUUAUAACGUCACAUCAUGUUUGCGUAUGCAGUGUGCUGCUAAAAUGUAUUUUCAAUAGACUUUAUUUUUUAAUUAUUAGACACUGAACUAUAUCCAAAUCUACCUAAAUUUAAGAUAUAAUAUGAACUACAUUCAAUGCUGUUAAAUGUUUUUGUGUGAGUCACUACUGGUGGUUUGUGAGGAAAUAUUGCUUCAUAUUGUGAACAAAAUAAAUCAGCAUGUAUUAUAUCUGUUUGCUGUUGUGCCACA